UACGUAGGGUGCGAGCGUUGUCCGGAAUUAUUGGGCGUAAAGAGCUCGUAGGCGGUUUGUCGCGUCGACUGUGAAAACCCGAGGCUUAACCUCGGGCCUGCAGUCGAUACGGGCAGACUAGAGUUCGGUAGGGGAGACUGGAAUUCUUGGUGUAGCGGUGAAAUGCGUAGAUAUCAAGAGGAACACCUGCGGCGAAGGCGGGUUGCUGGGCCGACACUGACGCUGAGGCGCGAAAGCUAGGGGAGCGAACGGG
rnacentral:rRNA from 1 species